CCUACGGGCGGCAGCAGUGGGGGAUAUUGCACAAUGGGGGAAACCCUGAUGCAGCGACGCCGCGUGUGGGAAGACGGUCCUCUGGAUUGUAAACCACUGUCCCCAGGGACGAAGAUGACGGUACCUGGGGAGGAAGCUCCGGCUAACUACGUGCCAGCAGCCGCGGUAAUACGUAGGGAGCGAGCGUUGUCCGGAAUUACUGGGUGUAAGGGGAGCGUAGGCGGGACUGCAAGUUGGGUGUCAAAUCUACCGGCUCAACCGGUAGCCGCACUCAAAACUGCAGUUCUUGAGUGAAGUAGAGGCAGGCGGAAUUCCUAGUGUAGCGGUGAAAUGCGUAGAUAUUAGGAGGAACACCAGUGGCGAAGGCGGCCUGCUGGGCUUUUACUGACGCUGAGGCUCGAAAGUGUGGGGAGCAAACAGGAUUAGAUACCCCGGUAGUC
rnacentral:rRNA from 1 species